rnacentral:lncRNA from 7 species
CACCGCACACCGCACACCGCACACCGCACACCGCACACCGCCGCUCAGCCACGGGGAGGAGUGGGAGUUUGCUCGGGGGCUGCUUUACAGCUGCGCUAAGAGCGGCUCGGAGCGGUUCUGUGCUGGGCACUGCGGUGCAUACACCGACCUUCCAUUCCUCCAAGCGUGGCUGCUUCAUCCGAAUCAUGGAGCCACCGCUCAUCAGCGGAUUAAUGACUAUUUCCAGCAAACAAUGCUUUGAAAAGACGCUCCUAAAGGCAAAGCAAAGAUUGGCAGAAACGCUCACAGCAGCUUAGCACGGAGCUGGAGUACAUUGGACUGAGAGUACCCACCUCUGCCGGGAUCCACACAACUUCAUCUCUCCAAGCAGCACAGCCCCCAGUGUUGGACGGAUGGCCCCAAAACCUCUGAGGUGGUGGCACAGAUCCAUCAGCAUGUGGAACACAGGACCGCAGCGUGGGCUGGCAGCGCCAGGAUUGCACUCCGUGAGCAGCAGUGAUUAUUUCGGAUUUCUGCUAUGAAACUGCAAAGGCUGCCAGAAUGGGUGCUGCUCCAGCCCAGCUCUGCAGAGGAGGACAGUGAACAAUGCAGCUCUUCUUCCUGGAGAAGCAUCACUCACAGCAUCACAGAAUGGUUGGGUUGGAAGGAACCUCAAGGACCACGAAGCUCCAACACUCCUGCUGCAGGCAGGGCCACCAACCUCCACACUCCAUACCAGCCCAGGCUGCCCAGGGCCCCAUCCAACCUGGCCUUGAACACCUGCAGGGAUGGAUGGGGCAUCCACAGCCCCUCUGGCAGCUGUUCCAGCACCUCACCACUCUCAUAAUGGUGCUUCCUCUGUAGGUGAUGGACUCGAGGUGACAGUGAUGGCUCAGUGCUUCCUCAUAUAAGCAGAGCUCCAGAACCACCCUCAGCACAGUGCUGCGCAAUGGCUGCAAUGCUUCGCAGAGGAUCAGUGUGUGUAUGUAAAUGGCAGAAUGUUCUCAAGCAGCACUGGAUUUUGCAUUUUAGCAAGGAUUUCCUUCCCAACUCCUCCUUCCUCAGUGCUGCUCAGUACCUCUUUCCCACUCCUGCCCCUUGUUCUUCCCUGCCCAGCUCUUUGCCCUGCAUGGCACGUUCCAGCCCCUCCUUUCUUGCUGAUCUCUGUGAUUAAAAGGUGGUGAG